AGAGUUUGAUCAUGGCUCAGGAUGAACGCUAGCGGCAGGCCUAAUACAUGCAAGUCGAGGGGCAGCGCAGGGUAGCAAUACCUGGGCGGCGACCGGCAAACGGGUGCGGAACACGUACGCAACCUUCCUUUAAGCGGGGGAUAGCCCAUAGAAAUGUGGAUUAAUACCCCAUUAGAUCAUGGUCCGGCAUCGGGCAGUGAUUAAAGCUCCGGCACUUAAAGAUGGGCGUGCGUCUGAUUAGGUAGUUGGUGAGGUAACGGCUCACCAAGCCGACGAUCAGUAACUGGCGUGAGAGCGCGACCAGUCACACGGGCACUGAGACACGGGCCCGACUCCUACGGGAGGCAGCAGUAAGGAAUAUUGGUCAAUGGACGCAAGUCUGAACCAGCCAUGCCGCGUGGAGGAUGAAGGUCCUCUGGAUUGUAAACUUCUUUUAUCUGGGAAGAAAUGCCGAUUUUCUAAUUGGUUUGACGGUACCAGAUGAAUAAGCACCGGCUAACUCCGUGCCAGCAGCCGCGGUAAUACGGAGGGUGCAAGCGUUAUCCGGAUUCACUGGGUUUAAAGGGUGCGUAGGCGGAAUUGUAAGUCCGUGGUGAAAUCUCCGAGCUUAACUCGGAAACUGCCGUGGAUACUAUAGUUCUUGAAUGUUGUGGAGGUUUGCGGAAUAUGUCAUGUAGCGGUGAAAUGCUUAGAUAUGACAUAGAACACCGAUUGCGAAGGCAGCAGGCUACACAAAUAUUGACGCUGAGGCACGAAAGCGUGGGGAUCAAACAGGAUUAGAUACCCUGGUAGUCCACGCC
rnacentral:rRNA from 1 species